UCCUAAUGAAAUAUAGCCGUGCAGCAAAAGGAGCAUUUAUUAUCAGAAACACAUUUCUUUUCUGACAUUACGGGGGGCGGGGGCGGUGAGAGGGAAGGUCCAGAUUAACUGUACUUUUUAAUAAGAGAUGGAGUGCUAUUGGAAAACUAUUAAGGAAACUGUGGCUUGAGCUCAGAUUCAAGGAAGCCCAUAAGAAAACUUUACUACCUUCCAGCUUAAUACUGCAGUAGGGCCCGUUCUACAGACCCACUGCUGCCUGAAUGAUUCUGGGGAGUAUUUGUGAGCUGGGGUUGUUCUAGGAAAGGCAAUCAACCGCUGAUGAGCUCUCCUGCUUAACUUUCCUAAUUGAUUCCACCAGACCUCCUAGUAGACUAGUUGCUAACCCUACCCCUUCCCAACUCUGGCCUGGCUCCUUCUGAUGGCAAAGUCUUCAGGGACCAUUUGCCAGUUUGGAGCUGGGCCUUGGAGCUGCAGAACAGGCUUGUAAAGCAGAUGCAUAGUAAAUGCUGCAGCCAAGUGCACAGCACAUUUUCCUAAGUGGAAAUCCUGUGUUACAGACAGAACAUUACUUAACAGUAGGUGGGCAGUUCAAUCCUAAACAGCUCAGUUCUUCCCCAUCAGAGACCCUGCAGAAGCAUGCUUCUGCCGCAGCUGUGGGAGGAAGAGCAGUUCUUGUAACUGUUAGGAGCAGACAGUGGCUAACAGAAACAGUCUCUUGGGAAGUCCCUGUCUGUGAUUUUCCUACGUAAACACAAGAAAACAAAACCCCUGGGCUUGCCGUUCACACAAACAAGCUGCACAAAGCUUUCUUUCCUUCAUCUGCAUGUGCUAGUAGCUGUUCUUCCUUUAGUUUUUACUGCUGCUUAAAAGUAUUUUUGUCCAGAUAUGUAAAGGUGCCUCGCCCUUCUCCUUCUCAGGAAAAGUAACUAUUUAUUGAGUGCCUGUCGCCAUGCAGGAACUCUGUAUCCAUCAUCUCACCUCUUCCUCAUCAAACACAUCUCUUCCGAGUGAGUUGCCAAAUUACACUGCUGGCUUCCCAACCUGAGGUUUUGCUUCUGUUUACAUUUUACCAGAGCAAGAGAGAAAAAGUCACAAAUGAUGUGCUGUCUUCUCAUCCUACUAAUCCCUCUUCCCCAGGCCUUUCCACUUCUGGAAUUAAGUAUCUGGGCCUUGGCAGCCAGGCCAACCCCUAACAUCAGUAAAGCCCAGGCAAGAGCAAAAAUGGAUGCCCAUAUGCCUAAAGCUGUAAGAUUUAUAAUGCCACUUUAAUGCUUCCUCAUGUCCAUGUCAGAUAUGUGCAUUAAAAUUCAUAAAAAAUAAUUAUCGGCCAGGUGUGGUGGCUCAUGCCUGUAAUCCCAGCACUUUGGGAGGCCGAAGUUAGAGGAUCGCUUAAAGCCAGAAGUUUGAGACCAGCCUGUGCAACAUAGUGAGACCCCAUCUCUACAAAAAAUAAAAAAAAAAAAAAA
rnacentral:lncRNA from 1 species